UGGUUCUCUUAUUGCUUAACAUUUUUCUAUUGCUUAUAUGUCUCUCGUAGCGUACUCUCUGCCUCUCUGCCUAGCGACAACGCGUGUGAGCGAGUCAAGCUAGGUCCCUCCUACGUUCCAUCUUCCAGACACUCAGGUCUGUGUUUCGUGCUUCUAGUGUUUUCUUAGGUCACUCCACUUGGUUAGGCAGGGUAGUUAGCUGGUGGGUUUUGCGACUGGGUGGCUGUUUUCUCCAGCAAGAAUGCGUUCCUACUCUGGGUUGGUUUUUUGAGCUUGGUUGUGCCUCGAAAUGGAAAGGAGAUUCCUUGUGGAGUCGAAAUCCUUUGUCCUCUCGGUCUUGGGGGGGGCGUCAGUGUUGCGGGUGGAGGAGAAGAGACAGGGCUUCUUUGGCGCGGUCAUCCUGAGCUCCCAAUGUUCUGCGUGGCUUGUUUCGACGAUGGAAAUGCUCUUGGGCUUUCCUGGAGAACAAGAGUUUAUCAAGUCAUAUAGGGAAGGACCGAAGAUCUUGAUUGCUAGAAGAGGUGGCAACAAAGAUGGCCGGUUCUUAGAGGCGAUAGUGUUUGGGCUGGGCGGUCGGAGAGGGUUCAUUCUGAUCCCUGAGGGUCGCGGAAGUUGGGCUGGCGCAAGUUUUCUAGCAAGUUGAGUAAGAUUUCUGCCUUUCUCUCCGCUACGGUGGGCUGUGGGAGUGAGUCCUCAAUUGUGACGGUAAAUUUGGGUGGGAAGGAGGGGAAACGCUGGGUUUAUCUUUUGAUAGGUCGAGGCCUUCAUAUGCGACAGUGGUGAGUUCAGUUCCGGUGCCGGCCUCGAAGGUGACGCCCAUCGUGGCGGGUCGGCUACCCAGGAUGAGGGACAGCAGAACGGCGGGUGACCACUCUGUGAAGGAGAUCCCCUCGGUUGUUCUGUUGGAUUUGGAAAAACCUCAUUGUCCGAUGGGAGACCGGGGUUAAGAUUGUGGUGGAGCUUAUAGUGCCGGUGAUUUGUGUAUGGGUAUGCUGGUUGCCCAUCAAUAUCAUAGAGCCAAUGAUUGAGUUCAGAAGCUGGGUCUGUCCCCUAUGGCUUUGCACAAAUGGUCCCUUCUGGUGGACGAUGGGGCGAGUGAUUUGCUGUGGAAGAAGUCAGCGUCCUCGGCCAGUGAGGUGGUUUUGAAUGAGCAUAGGUGCUGUCGCAGGGAGAUGAUCAUGACACAACAAUAAGCAUGUUAUGGAUUCCAAGCAUGAUGCUGAUGAUAACUUGUUUUACUUCCCAGUUCAAAAAAGCAUCAAUAAACAAGAGGCUGCUUGACAACUUAA